rnacentral:tRNA from 1 species
AGAGAUUUAGCUCAGCGGCAUAAGCGCCUGCCUUGCAAGCAGGCAGUUGUGAGUUCAAUCCCUG